rnacentral:rRNA from 1 species
GGGGGGGGCAAGCGUUGUUCGGAAUUACUGGGCGUAAAGGGCUCGUAGGUGGCCAACUAAGUCAGACGUGAAAUCCCUCGGCUUAACCGGGGAACUGCGUCUGAUACUGGAUGGCUGGAGUUUGGGAGAGGGAUGCGGAAUUCCAGGUGUAGCGGUGAAAUGCGUAGAUAUCUGGAGGAACACCGGUGGCGAAGGCGGCAUCCUGGACCAACACUGACGCUGAGGAGCGAAAGCCAGGGGAGCAAACGGGAUUAGAUACCCCGGUAGUCCUGGCCCUAAACGAUGAAUGCUUGGUGUGGCGGGUAUCGAUCCCUGCCGUGCCGAAGCUAACGCAUUAAGCAUUCCGCCUGGGGAGUACGGUCGCACGGCUG